rnacentral:rRNA from 1 species
AGCGAACGCUGGCGGCAGGCCUAACACAUGCAAGUCGAACGAAGUCUUCGGACUUAGUGGCGGACGGGUGAGUAACACGUGGGAACGUGCCUUUAGGUUCGGAAUAACUCAGGGAAACUUGUGCUAAUACCGAAUGUGCCCUUCGGGGGAAAGAUUUAUCGCCUUUAGAGCGGCCCGCGUCUGAUUAGCUAGUUGGUGAGGGAAAGGCUCCCCAAGGCUACGAUCAGUAGCUGGUCUGAGAGGAGGACCAGCCACAUUGGGGCUGAGAAACGGCCCAAACUCCUACGGGAGGCAGCAGUGGGGAAUCUUGCGCAAUGGGCGAAAGCCUGACGCAGCCAUGCCGCGUGGAUGAUGAAGGUCUUAGGAUUGUAAAAUCCUUUCACCGGUGAAGAUAAUGACUGUAGCCGGAGAAGAAGCCCCGGCUAACUUCAUGCCAGCAGCCGCCGUAACAC